UGAUAAGGACUCAUGUAUGCAAAAUGCAACCUAAACAUGGCUAAAUCAUAAUCUAUAUGAUCAAAAUGCACAUGGGUGAAUGGAUAAAACAUUAGAAAUAUGCAAGAUAUCACCAGACCUCUCUCACGCUCCCUCCUCUCUCUUGCUCGCCUUCAGGACUCCUCUCUAGCCGGAUUUUCUCUCUCUCUCUCUCUCUCUCUCUCUCUCUCUCUCUCUCUCUCGCCUCUCUCUCUCUAGCCGGACCUCCCUCACGGUUAACUCUCUCUCUCUAUGUCGGUGUCUAUGUGUGUGUCAGUUUUGAUUCCGAUUUGUUUUUGUAAGUGGUGGAGGAGAUUGGACAUGAAGCCUCACGGAGGAGGCUCCUCGCCGUGACUUUUCCGACGUUUCUUUCCAUCCCAGCAACCUCAGUAAGUUGGAUAGUUAUUAGAUGUUCAUUGUUACCUACUAAAACAGUUUCGU
rnacentral:lncRNA from 1 species